rnacentral:rRNA from 1 species
AUGAUUGCUUUAUUGGUACACUCGAAGUAUUAUUGUUUUUUAUGUCAAAUGAUAGACUAUUGCUUUGAAUCACUCCUGAUGCCUCUCCCUCAAAUAGAAUUGCAAUACAAUUUUGUUUCCAGAUGUUGCACUGAAUUUGAAAGAAAGAUUACUCAAGGAUUACAUGGAGUACCCUUUUGGAUCUUCUUUACAGUAGAUGCACUGAAAAUUUCUGAAUUUUGUUUGCAGUAUGGGUUAAUUCUUGUCUUGUUUUUUUACACACAGGUUGGUGCUACUGUUCGUGUUGGGCUAGUUGCCCCUAUUGAUGUGGUGGUUCCCCCUGGCAACACUGGUCUGGAUCCCUCCCAGACAUCCUUCUUCCAGGUGCUUAACAUUCCCACCAAGAUUAACAAGGGUACUGUGGAUAUUACUAUACCAGUGGAGCUCAUUAAUAAGGGUGACAAGGUGGGCUCCUCCGAGUCUGCCCUGCUUGCCAAGCUUGGUAUCCGCCCCUUCUCACAUGGGUUGGUCAUCUGCAAUGUCUAUGACAGCGGGUCAGUCUUCAGCCCUGAGGUUCUUGACCUCACUGAGGAAGACCUGAUGGACAAGUUUGCUUCUGGUGUUUCCAUGGUUGCCUCACUGUCCCUGAAGAUCUCAUACCCCACCAUGGCUAUUGCGCCACACAUGUUCCUCAACGCAUACAAGAAUGUUCUUGCGGUUGCUCUGGAGACAGACUACUCAUAUGACCAUGCUGAUAAGAUCAAGGAGUACCUCAAGGGAGAUCAAGGAGGGGAAGGAGGGAUAACAGAGGAGUUUAACAUAUAUAUAGGUAGGCCACGCGGAGUAUAA